GCCUCGUUUUUCCUCCCCAUGCUGAUUUCAGUUGAGUAGACCAUCACAGUCUGGAAACUUAUGAGUAGUUUCCCCUGUAAAAGAUCAAUCAUUCACAACAUACAAUGCGGCAUGCAGUCUAGUCAUCAAUGGAGAGUUUUGACACCUGUAUACCUGUAUUCUACCAAUCACCUUUGUAACCUUUGUUGUGUUCAUCAGACAGGCUUUAGGUGAAAGUGGUCUGUCACUGAGUCAACAAUUACUGUCUGUCACUGAGUCAACAAUUACUGUGAGCCAAUAUUUGGUGCCAUUCACAAGCAGAAAAAUAUACAUAAACCCAACAUUCAUCAUGUUUGAUCUUAAACUACCAGACUACCAGUGUUGGAUAACUGGAGCCUUGCCUGGUACUACUCAAACUGGAGCUGUGGGGAUGGAGUCCAGAGACAUUUUCCCUAUGGAUGUGUUUCAAAGAAUUCUGAUGGAGCUUGGAGCAGUCUCGGUUAUAGGAGAUAAUUUCGCUUUUUGUGUUCUUCCAAAAGUUUCCAUGUGACCUAGAGAUGGAUAUUUUUUUGCUACCCAUGUUUUUCCAAGAUUUAAUUCCCAUACGGCCUGAAGCAGGACAAACCCCCAGGAAUACUAUGUGAAGGAAACUUUAUAAUUUUUGGAUGGUUGUGGGAAUUUGAUGUAUUAUUGUAUUGUAUAACCAUGACAUUUUCUAAGAUAUAUCUAGGAUAAUAGAAGAAUUCAUUUUGCUAGAUAAUUGUUUAAGAUUACUUAGGCUUACUGUUUUAUCUGAAUGAGACAGUAUCUUUUAGAGAGCAUUUAAUGAUGUUUUUUAA